rnacentral:sRNA from 1 species
CGUGCUCUGGUAAUAGAGUUGUUUUAGAAAUACCGUAAAAGUUAGUUCUCCAGUUGUUCCAUCGUGGUUAUACACUGUCCUACCCUUCGUUAUUGUCGUCUAAAUAAUUACUACUUCUAGCGCAUCAUAUUAAUCAAAUACAAAGGGGACAUACUAUGUCUAAAGCUACUGGUACAGUAAAAUGGUUCAACGAAACUAAAGGUUUCGGUUUCAUUUCUCAAGAAAACGGCGAAGACCUAUUCGUACACUUCCGUUCAAUCGUUUCUGACGGUUUCAAAACUCUAAACGAAGGUCAAAAAAGUUUCUUUUGACGUUGAGAACGGUCCUAAAGGUCCUCAAGCUGCAAACGUAACUCCACUAUAAGUUACCGUUUAAUACAGUUUCUAAAAGCCUUGCUUUCGAGCAAGGCUUUUUUG